rnacentral:rRNA from 1 species
AUCGGUGACAGGUGGUGCAUGGUUGUCGUCAGCUCGUGUCGUGAGAUGUUGGUUAAGUCCCGCAACGAGCGCAACCCCUAUUGUUAGUUGCCAUCAUUCAGUUGGGCACUCUAGCGAGACUGCCGGUAAUAAACCGGAGGAAGGUGGGGAUGACGUCAAAUCAUCAUGCCCCUUAUGACCUGGGCUACACACGUGCUACAAUGGUUGGUACAACGAGUUGCGAGUCGGUGACGGCGAGCUAAUCUCUUAAAGCCAAUCUCAGUUCGGAUUGUAGGCUGCAACUCGCCUACAUGAAGUCGGAAUCGCUAGUAAUCGCGGAUCAGCAUGCCGCGGUGAAUACGUUCCCGGGCCUU